rnacentral:rRNA from 1 species
CUACGGGAGGCAGCAGUCACGGAAACUUUACAAUGCGCGAAAGCGUGAUAAGGGUAUCCCAAGUGCUUUGCUUAUUGUAAGGCUUUUGCCAAGUGUAAAGAGCUUGGCGAAUAAGUGGUGGGUAAGACUGGUGCCAGCCGCCGCGGUAACACCAGCGCCACAAGUGGUAACCACGUUUAUUGGGCCUAAAGCGUUCGUAGCCGGUUUGAUAAGUUUCUUGUGAAAUUGUUUGGCCUAACCAAACAACGUGCAAGAAAUACUGUCUAACUUGGGACCGGGAGGAGUUAGAGGUAUUCCAUGGGGAGCGGUAAAAUGCUAUAAUCCUUGGAGGACCACCAAUGGCGAAGGCUUCUAACUAGAACGGAUCCGACGGUCAGGAACGAAGGCUAGGGGAGCAAAGCGGAUUAGAUACCCGCGUAGUC